AGUCCGGUGGUCUAAAGGAAUGAUGUCCGCUUGCCAAGCGGGAAAUGCGGGUUCGAUUCCCGCCCGGACUU
rnacentral:tRNA from 1 species